UGAAAGGCGUUGACGAGAAACAUCAAUCCCGUUUCGGAUCAAGAGAGUUGCCGUUUGGUGUGAGGCAAUGACGAGCGAGUGCGAUGAUCAUCUCUGAGCUGUGUGCCGAACCGGCUAAGCCGAAGUAGAACACAUUGGGUGCACCCAUUAUCGUGCCAAGCGUAUCGCAUUUUUGCCGUACGUGAGAGGUUAUUUCAGUAAUGAAAUUUCGAAUUAAGGUGGUACCACGUGAAAGCGUCCUUACU
rnacentral:ncRNA from 1 species